rnacentral:rRNA from 1 species
AUGGUUAGAUGGUUGAUGCUGCAGUCUGAUGAGGUCUCAGGGGUGUGGCUUCUGCUGAAUUUUCGACACCACCAACUCCUGGAGGGGAGGUGGGAUGGCCGGCAGCGGCAUUCUAUUCGGGGUUGCGUCGAUCUGGUGAUGCUGGAGCACGGCAACGGGAAACAUCACCUCCACCACGACAUUUCAAGUAGCCAAUUUACCUUUCUCCCUAAGGAUUUCUUACUCUGCUGUCAGUAUCACUGGGCAUGGGGUUUAGAUUUUGUUAAUAUCAAAAUCUGGGUACUUACCAGCAAACGAGUUGUUGAUCUAUUUACUUAG